ensembl:snRNA U6 U6 spliceosomal RNA
GUGCUGGCUUCAGCAGCACAGACACUAAAAUGGGAUGAUACUGAGAAGAUUAGUGUGGCCCCCACGCAAGGAUGACAGGCAUGCUCCCCAGAGAAUAGUGCUUCCCAU